GAUGAACGCUGGCGGCGUGCCUAAUACAUGCAAGUCGAGCGAAUGGAUUAAGAGCUUGCUCUUAUGAAGUUAGCGGCGGACGGGUAAGUAACACGUGGGUAACCUGCCCAUAAGACUGGGAUAACUCCGGGAAACCGGGGCUAAUACCGGAUAACAUUUUGAACCGCAUGGUUCGAAAUUGAAAGGCGGCUUCGGCUGUCACUUAUGGAUGGACCCGCGUCGCAUUAGCUAGUUGGUGAGGUAACGGCUCACCAAGGCAACGAUGCGUAGCCGACCUGAGAGGGUGAUCGGCCACACUGGGACUGAGACACGGCCCAGACUCCUACGGGAGGCAGCAGUAGGGAAUCUUCCGCAAUGGACGAAAGACUGACGGAGCAACGCCGCGUGAGUGAUGAAGGCUUUCGGGUCGUAAAACUCUGUUGUUAGGGAAGAACAAGUGCUAGUUGAAUAAGCUGGCACCUUGACGGUACCUAACCAGAAAGCCACGGCUAACUACGUGCCAGCCGCCGCGGUAA
rnacentral:rRNA from 1 species